UUAGAAUAUGAGAAACUAAGUUAUAUGUUUAGUUAUAUUUUUACUGAUUUUUAUAGAGUAAAGAUAGAAAUAAAACUUAGUAAAAUCAGUAAAAAUAUUCUUAGACUAAAGUUAAGUAGUUUAAGUUGUGUGCAAGUGGUAGGAGAGCGUUCUAUUUGCGUCGAAGGUAUACCGGUAAGGAGUGCUGGAGCGAAUAGAAGUGAGCAUGCAGGCAUGAGUAGCGAUAAUUAAUGUGAGAAUCAUUAACGCCGUAAACCCAAGGUUUCCUACGCGAUGCUCGUCAUCGUAGGGUUAGUCGGGUCCUAAGUCGAGUCCGAAAGGGGUAGACGAUGGCAAAUUGGUUAAUAUUCCAAUACCAACAUUAGUGUGCGAUGGAAGGACGCUUAGGGCUAAGGGGGCUAGCGGAUGGAAGUGCUAGUCUAAGGUCGUAGGAGGUUAUACAGGCAAAUCCGUAUAACAAUACUCCGAGAACUGAAAGGCUUUUUGAAGUCUUCGGAUGGAUAGAAGAACCCCUGAUGCCGUCGAGCCAAGAAAAGUUUCUAAGUUUAGCUAAUGUUGCCCGUACCGUAAACCGACACAGGUGGGUGGGAUGAGUAUUCUAAGGCGCGUGGAAGAACUCUCUUUAAGGAACUCUGCAAAAUAGCACCGUAUCUUCGGUAUAAGGUGUGGUUAGCUUUGUAUUAGGAUUUACUCCGAAAGCAAGGAAACUUACAACAAAGAGUCCCUCCCGACUGUUUACCAAAAACACAGCACUCUGCUAACUCGUAAGAGGAUGUAUAGGGUGUGACGCCUGCCCGGUGCUCGAAGGUUAAUUGAUGGGGUUAGCAUUAGCGAAGCUCUUGAUCGAAGCCCGAGUAAACGGCGGCCGUAACUAUAACGGUCCUAAGGUAGCGAAAUUCCUUGUCGGUUAAAUACCGACCUGCAUGAAUGGCGUAACGAGAUGGGAGCUGUCUCAAAGAGGGAUCCAGUGAAAUUGUAGUGGAGGUGAAAAUUCCUCCUACCCGCGGCAAGACGGAGAGACCCCGUGGACCUUUACUACAGCUUGACACUGCUACUUGGAUAAGAAUGUGCAGGAUAGGUGGGAGGCUUUGAGUAUAUGACGCCAGUUGUAUAUGAGCCAUUGUUGAGAUACCACUCUUUCUUAUUUGGGUAGCUAACCAGCUUGAGUUAUCCUCAAGUGGGACAAUGUCUGGUGGGUAGUUUGACUGGGGCGGUCGCCUCCCAAAUAAUAACGGAGGCUUACAAAGGUUGGCUCAGAACGGUUGGAAAUCGUUCGUAGAGUAUAAAGGUAUAAGCCAGCUUAACUGCAAGACAUACAAGUCAAGCAGAGACGAAAGUCGGUCUUAGUGAUCCGGUGGUUCUGUGUGGAAGGGCCAUCGCUCAAAGGAUAAAAGGUACCCCGGGGAUAACAGGCUGAUCUCCCCCAAGAGCUCACAUCGACGGGGAGGUUUGGCACCUCGAUGUCGGCUCAUCGCAUCCUGGGGCUGGAGCAGGUCCCAAGGGUAUGGCUGUUCGCCAUUUAAAGCGGUACGCGAGCUGGGUUCAGAACGUCGUGAGACAGUUCGGUCCCUAUCUGCCGUGGGCGUAAGAAGAUUGAAGAGAUUUGACCCUAGUACGAGAGGACCGGGUUGAACAAACCACUGGUGUAGCUGUUGUUCUGCCAAGAGCAUCGCAGCGUAGCUAAGUUUGGAAAGGAUAAACGCUGAAAGCAUCUAAGCGUGAAGCCAACUCUAAGAUGAAUCUUCUCUAAGCUCUCUAGAAGACUACUAGUUUGAUAGGCUGGGUGUGUAAUGGAUGAAAGUCCUUUAGCUGACCAGUACUAAUAGAGCGUUUGGCUUAUCU
rnacentral:rRNA from 1 species